UGCCAUGCCGUGUGUUUGUUUUGAUGCUACUUGCUCUUGAUUUUGUGCUUCUAAAUGUGAACAGAUCAGCAUGUAUAGUUAAGUUUAAAUGAACGAGGACAAAUAUAUUCGGUCUACAUUCAAAAUGGACAUAUUUAUUCAUCCGAUAAGUACAAUUACGUGGUAUGAAUGAGUUAUCCGCUUGGUGGUGAUAAGUCAUGAUCAGAAGUGACUAGAGAAACAAGAAAUCUGAGCGCUUUAAACAUCUGAAUUCAUCUACAGCCCUUCUGAGAGCAGCUACUUACAAACAGCAGUGAAAGCUGGAGAAGCAGAGGCGAAAUGAGAGCAAACCACAGCAAAGAUGCCAGGGAGCGUUAUUUGGAUAAAUGAUCAUCUGUUAACGGCAACGAUGAGCUAAGUUGGUUGCAAGCGGGUGGAACAGCGAUCAUGUUGCGCUUGUGGCGGUAAAUGUUUAUGCUUUAAUGUAAUUGUUCAUGCUGCUUUUUGUCUGUGUCUGUUUACAAGCACAAAUAAAGUACAUAUACAUUUUACCUAACUGUA